UGUGCUACAUGUAAAUGUACAUGAGUCAAUCAGACAUCUAUCUCCAUCUCAGACUCAAGUUCAGCUGGCUGAAACAGUCACUUAUCAGGGAACAAGGUACUCAAAAGACAUGAUUGUGGCCUAUGGUUCUACUGCAGGUCUUCCUGAUUUUGCAGUGAUUCUUCAAAUUGCACUUAUUGGGGAAAGAGUGUAUUUUAUUGUGCGAACACAGAUAUCCUGGUAUGACGAACAUGAUCGUGGAUAUUAUCUGGAGAAAACGGACCACAUAACUCUUGUUGAGCAACGAUGCCUUACUGAUGUAUGUCCUCUGUCUGCCUAUAUUGUUGCAGGAAAGCCAAUGGUGACAUUGAAGCGCCACAUCUGUCUCCAGUGUUGAGUAUCACACCUCUCUGUCUUUUGUCUUCCUAGACAUGGAGCCAACUGUAAGAUUCCGGGUCCUUAUUGAUCAAGAAGUCAAGAAACUCACUCUCAGCAGUGGCAUACCCUCAACUGUGAACGAGUUGGUUGCAGCUGACAAAGAACAUUUUUCCAUCCCCACAGAUAUAAGUCUUCAAUACAAAGAUGAGGAAUUUGAUGACUUCUUGAGCUAAAUGAUAAAGACACACUUAAAGUUGUGUAUGCACCGCUGGAGUUGGCGCUGACAGUUGUUCCUCAAGAAAGCACCCCUGAAGCCUCUGUCAGCUUUUGUGAUUGUGCAAGUCUCAGUGGGGACUCAGUGGAUACUGUCGUUCUGAGUCCUUCCUCCUCUGAAAGGCAGAGCCCAUGGCCUGCUGUGUUUCCCAUUCCAACCUUCUCACACAACACUGAACUGGCCUUAAGACAAGGAAAUGAGAUUUAUGAGAUGGCACCCCAAUGACAUCCCCAAGUGUCAAAUCAGACAUCUUGGAGCGCUUAGCAGAGGUUAUGUUUUCCUACACAGCUUACCCCAAUGAUGCCCAAAGAUGUGUAGUGGCAGAGGCACUAGUUGCAAAGCAUCCCUGCUUAAAGGAGCCCGGAUCCUUUAAUUGAAUUUAUGGAUGGCAGCAAAGCCUAAAGUAUAAGUGUGGAAACUACCGGACAAAACGGAAAGCACUUGGAAGCCCUGAACUCCUGAUAAACACACUGAGAAACAAGUCAAAUGAUGAACGAAAAGCUGCUAAAAAUGUCAAGAAACCAAAGAGAGCAGAGGUGAAUUACUUACCCUCACACCCACAUGGUGAAACAGAUGACACCCUUGAAAAUCUGAGACUUGACCUAAUAGCUGCCCAUCAGAAAAAGGACUCUGUCAGGAGCAUAAACGAUAUGAUGGCCAGAACAUACAGCUGGAGAAGACAGGAAGUGGUUGCUAAGUCUCCUGGUGUGGCAGAAUUUAAGGAAAGAUGGCCUGCCCUCUUCGAACCAUUUCAGGUAAACGAGGAGUUCCGAAGAUGUACUGCAGUUCCCCUGGAAGCAACGUUUAUGUCACAGCUGGAAAGGCAAACCCCAAAGUUCCUGGAGCUCUUUGGUGCCAAGGGAGGAGCAACUGGUCAACGCAUCAAAAACAUCUUGAUGGAACUGAUACAGGUGGGGAAAAAUACCUUACAAAGAUAAAAGAAGCGAGAUGUCACUCUGAGAUGCCUCUUUGAGUAUAUGGGAGAGAGUGGACAGGAGCUCAUCUCUGAUUACUGUGGGGCUGCAGAGACCACUGUUCACGAAGACCUGAAAAUGAAGAAUAUGAGCAUCUAUGUCUGCCGUGAGCCAGAUGCAGUAGGAAUCAUCAUUGAGGGAAUACCAGUCCUUACCCAUCUUGGAAAUCUGGCCAAAGCAUGCUGCUUACUGCUUGGGUUGACCUAUGCACUUAAUCUUGAGUAUCCAUCCAAGCUUUCCAAAACAUUUGAGGUGUUUCAAAGACUUUUUGUGGGACUUGACACAAUGCGCCCCAAACCAAGCCCAAAGUUCCUGACUCUGAAAAACAAGCUCCUUGCCUAGGCACUCAGAUAUGAUGGUCACCCUGCUCUCGUGAGCUGUUUUGUUCAACAUCAUUAUACAUUGGACAUAACGUUAAAUUUUUCAGGAUGUUGUAAUAGUUCUUGUCAUGUUUUAAACUGCUGUAGGUCAUACUUUCUGGUGUGGAAAAAGUUGAUAUUGUAUAUACACUCACAAAAUAGCCUUGCUGUGAAGCUGCACUUUAAAAACUGUUCAGUAGUUGGGAUCAGUGAGGUGUUUCAAAAUAUCCACACAUGCUGUGAAGGUAUUAUACUCUUGUAUUAUGCUAAGCUGUACUUUUUAAGUUGAGGUCAGAUGCUCAUGCUUGUGACCUGUAAUGUUAGUGUUAGUGUUAUGUACACACUGUAAAGGUGUUUCAACAACCAGCACUUUUAAAGCUGAAAUCAUGCUUUCUUUAGUCCAGGAAAACAGAUGUUCUUAAUUGUUUACUGUCUAGCUUAUAGCUACUGUUUGAAAGUGGCUUUUGAAUUGUUACAAAAGUGCCUGUUAACUUGAUUAUUGUUUUAAUAUGUAUGUUAUAUAUAUUUUGAUGUGUUCUACAAACCUGCAUUUUUUUAAGCUGAGGUCAUGCGCUCUUUAAUGCAUAAAGACAGAUGUUAUUAACACUGUCCAGCUCAUUUUGAAUAUAGCUUGUGAAUUGUUAAAGAAGUGCCUGUUGACUUAAUUUUAAAAUGUUAGAAGAUUCUGUAUGUACACAGUGAAGUGAAGGUGUUCCGCUACCUUCCAGGUUAUUAGCUGAAGGCAUGCUGUCUUUAAUGCAUGAAUAUAGAUGUUACUGAUAGUUUAUUCUGUCCAGUUCAUUGCUACUGUUAUAUAUAUAUAUAUAUAU